rnacentral:lncRNA from 1 species
GAAUCAAAGAAGGAGAGGUUCCUGGGGCUAUUUGGCUAUAGUGCUUUGUUUCUUUUCAGAUCUCUCAAUUUAUAAGUGUAUAACAACAGUAUUAUGCUGGUGAAAGUUACCAUUUUAUGGAUCACUGGGGCUGGCUCCUUUCAGAGGAAUGAGGUAAAUAACAGGGUGCUUAAACGCAAUUAGUUGAAGCAACAAAAAGAACAAAGAGAACAACAAGAAAGCUAUUAUGCAAAUGUGUGGCCAUUCGCUGCCAUUCUGCCUUGGGGAGUUUUGUGGUAGAUUCAGGAGUUUCUGCCUGUUUGAAUUAUUAGUCCUCCUUAUAUUUAACAUCAAGCUUCAGUACAAUUAUUUAUGUUGCUUUUUUUUUUUUUCUUCCCCUCAGCACAUUAGCAAUUGGCCUCUCUCAUCUGGUCUUAACGUGGGCUUAACUGCUGCCUUGACUGAAAACAAUAGCAAUGAAGGCAAAGCAAGCGCAGACCCUGCAGUAGGCCGGCCAGACAGAAGGUUCUGCUCUGCAGGGGUCCCGGAAAAGAGGAGGCAGAUAGGUGCCUUCCCCAAGGGUCCUAGGCUGCUGUCUGUGGGGUUGUGAACCACGAAAUUUUCUAGUUCCUUUCAGAAAUGACCUGGUCAGACAUAAUGGAACUGGGUAUCCCCAGCCCUUUCAAAAAAAAAAUCCUACUAAAGACCCAACCAAUGUAUUUCAGAUCACAUUUGUGCCUACAUUAAGUACACUAAAUUAUACACAAAAUGUUACUGGAAAGUCCCCAAGAGAUGAUUCUUGGAUCUCAUGCAAGAAAGAUUUUGGGGUGAGUCCACAGAAUAAAGUGAAAGCGAGUUUAUUGGAGAAGUAAAGAAACAAAGGAAUGGCUACUCCAUGGGCAGGGCAGGGCGUUCCCAAAAGCAAGAGAGCAAGGGGAGGAGUGUUCCUAUCUUAGGUGCAAAGCUUUUUUUUUUUUUUUUUUUUUUUAAGAUGUUGUCUUGCCCUGGGCUGGGCUGUGUGGGGAGGCCAUGGAAAGCAGCCUGGACUACAGUCAUAAGCUGAGUCAUAAGCUGAGGACUUGGCUCACAAACAAGCCCUACAUGAGACCCUGCUGGUGGGGGUCGGGGGUGGGUCCUGUUAUCCCCUUCUCUGCCCCCUGCCUUCUCUGCAGGAAUGCUGGCUGAUGGCCCCUGCCUCAUCUCCAGGCCCCCAUGUCUUCAAGAUGCUUGUUUACCCAGUUGCCACAGCCUCCCCAGGAACUCGUGGGAGCAAGCUCUGCAUGGCUGACAGCCCCAUUUAGAAGAGGGCGCUGUGGAAUGAAUGGUCCCCCCUGCAGCUCAGCCUCAUCUCCUUAAUGGAUCCUAAUUACCCCUGUCCUGCUUAUAGCUUCUCUCCAGGACCCACUUGUCAGGAUGAUGGAUGAGGUGACUGGGAGGUGGGGCCAGCUGGGACUGGAGGAAUCCCCCCACUGUCUAGUAGGGCGGGGACGCAGGAACUUUCAGUCAGUCCCAAAGAUUCUGAGGAAGAGAAGACAACAUUGCAGGAUGAGCUCUUCUCCCCUUUUGUCCCCAAAACUUGGGCCAGGACAUUUCCUCAUGAUUAAUUUCAGACCAUACAUCUUUGGCAAGAGUUUCACAGAAACUUCUCAUCGCAUCUUAUCAGGCGGCACACGAUUCUGUUUUGUCUUGGAAUGAAGGAUGCUGACUUUGAUCACUUGCUUGCCGUAGUGUCUGCCAGCCGUCUCCACCAUCAAGCUACUCUUUUCUUCUUUGCUGAGUCUCUGUCGCCAGGCUGAAGUGCAGUGGCACGAUCUCAGCUCACUGCAACCUCUGCCUCCUGGGUUCAAGCGAUUCCCUGACCCAGCCUCCUGAGUAGCUGAGACCACAG